rnacentral:rRNA from 2 species
CGGCGUGCUAUACAUGCAGUCGAGCGAACUGAUUAGAAGCUUGCUUCUAUGACGUUAGCGGCGGACGGGUGAGUAACACGUGGGCAACCUGCCUGUAAGACUGGGAUAACUUCGGGAAACCGAAGCUAAUACCGGAUAGGAUCUUCUCCUUCAUGGGAGAUGAUUGAAAGAUGGUUUCGGCUAUCACUUACAGAUGGGCCCGCGGUGCAUUAGCUAGUUGGUGAGGUAACGGCUCACCAAGGCAACGAUGCAUAGCCGACCUGAGAGGGUGAUCGGCCACACUGGGACUGAGACACGGCCCAGACUCCUACGGGAGGCAGCAGUAGGGAAUCUUCCGCAAUGGACGAAAGUCUGACGGAGCAACGCCGCGUGAGUGAUGAAGGCUUUCGGGUCGUAAAACUCUGUUGUUAGGGAAGAACAAGUACAAGAGUAACUGCUUGUACCUUGACGGUACCUAACCAGAAAGCCACGGCUAACUACGUGCCAGAGCG